CAAAAUCUGAGAUUGAUCCUGGCUCAGAAGGAACGCUAGCUAUAUGCUUAACACAUGCAAGUUGAACGUUCUUUUCGGGGAGCUGGGAAGAAGGAAAAGAGACUCCUAACUAAAGUUGUCUCGCCCUGCUUCAAAACUACAGGGCGCGCGCUACGGCUUUGACCUAACGGCCUCCGUUUGCUGGAAUCGAAAUAGUUGAGAACAAAGUGGCGAACGGGUGCGUAACGCGUGGGAAUCUACCGAACAGUUCGGGCCAAAUCCUGAAGAAAGCUCAAAAGCGCUGUUUGAUGAGCCUGUGUAGUAUUAGGUAGUUGGUCAGGUAAAGGCUGACCAAGCCAACGACGCUUAGCUGGUCUUUUCGGAUGAUUGGCCACACUGGGACUGAGACACGACCCAGACUCCCACGGGGGACAGCAGUGGGGAAUCUUGGCCAAUGGGCGAAAGCCCGAUCCAGCAAUAUCGCGCGAGUGAAGAAGGGCAAUGCCGCUUGUAAAGCACUUUCGUCGAGUUCGCGAUCAUGACAGGACUCGAGGAAGAAGCCCCGGCUAACUCCGUGCCAGAAGCCGCAGUAAGACGGGGGGGCAAGUGUUCUUUGGAACGACUCGGCGUAAAGGGCAUGUAGGCGGUGGAUCGGGUUGAAAGUGAAAGUCGCCAAAAAGUGGCGGAAUGCUCUCGAAACCAAUUCACUUGAGUGAGACAGAGGAGAGUGGAAUUUCGUGUGCAGGGGUGAAAUUCGUAGAUCUACGAAGGAACGCCAAAAGCGAAGGCAGCUCUCUGGGUGCCUACCGACGCUGGGGUGCGAAAGCAUGGGGAGCGAACAGAAAUAGAUACCCUGGUAGUCCAUGCUGUAAAUGAUGAGUGUUUGCCCUUGGUCUACGCGGAUCAGGGGCCCAGCUAACGCGUGAAACACUCCGCCUGGGGAGUACGGUCGCAAGACCGAAACUCAAAGGAAUUGACGGGGGCCUGCACAAGCGGUGGAGCAUGUGGUUUAAUUCGAUACAACGCGCAAAACCUUACCAGCCCUUGACAUAUGAACAACAAAACCUGUCCUUAAUAGGAUGGUACUGACUUUCAUACAGGUGCUGCAUGGCUGUCGUUAGCACGUGUCGUGAGAUGUUUGGUCUAGUCCCAUAACGAGCAAAACUCUCGUUUUGUGUUGCUGAGACAUGAAAUUGCCACCGAGUGACGUGCCAGCGCUACUACUUGAUUGAGUGUCAACACGUAGCUGUGCUUUCAGCAAGAAUUUCACCAUUGGGAGCCAGUGCCUUUCGAAGCACUUUCACGUGUGAACCAAAGUCUUCUUGCGCAAGACCCACGGAGACCUACCUAUAGUGACAUCAAAAUACCAGUGAGCAUGGAGGUUUGGUUGAAAUUGGUAACGACGACGUCGAGUUGGCGGCGGAGGAAGACUCUGCAUGAAGGCCAGAAAAUGGUGUGGAACGUAGUGGUAAUAGUACGCGCCCCGCUCCGAAACAAAGAAAAAGGUGCGUGCCGCACUCAUGAGGGACUGCAGUGACAUACUGGAGAAAGGUGGGGAUGACGUCAAGUCCGCAUGGCCCUUAUGGGCUGGGCCACACACGUGCUACAAUGGCAAUGACAAUGGGAAGCAAGGCUGUAAGGCGGAGCGAAUCCGGAAAGAUUGCCUCAGUUCGGAUUGUUCUCUGCAACUCGGGAACAUGAAGUUGAAAUCGCUAGUAAACACGGAUUAGCAUGCCGCGGUGAAUAUGUGCCCGGGCCCUAUACACACUGCCCGUCACACCCUAGGAAUUGGUUUUGCCCGAAACAUCGGACCAAUGAUCACCCAUGACUUCUGUGUACCACUAGUGCCAUAAAGUCCUUUGGUAGUCUUAUUGGCGCAUACCACGGUGGGGUGUUCGACUAGAGUGAAGUCGUAACAAGAUAGCCGUAGGGGAACCUGUGGCUAGAUUGAAUCCUUC
rfam:Triticum aestivum genome assembly, contig: Triticum_aestivum_CS42_TGACv1_scaffold_622860_7DS